AUCCCUUAUAAAACGGGGAUCGGGAUUACCACCCCGCUGGAGUUAGAGGCGAUACACGACGCGCCAGCGUCUUUUUU
rnacentral:sRNA from 1 species